AUUCCAUGAUGUGGGUACUUCCUAUGCAACUCUUUAAAUUGUUCCCACACAUCAUAUAAAGAUUCUCCAUCCAGCUGAUGGAAGUUAUUAAUCUCUCCUCUAUAUGGGCU